rnacentral:rRNA from 1 species
UACGGAGGGGGCUAGCGUUGUUCGGAAUUACUGGGCGUAAAGCGCACGUAGGCGGCUUUGUAAGUUAGAGGUGAAAGCCCGGGGCUCAACUCCGGAAUUGCCUUUAAGACUGCAUCGCUAGAAUUGUGGAGAGGUAAGUGGAAUUCCGAGUGUAGAGGUGAAAUUCGUAGAUAUUCGGAAGAACACCAGUGGCGAAGGCGACUUACUGGACACAUAUUGACGCUGAGGUGCGAAAGCGUGGGGAGCAAA